rnacentral:lncRNA from 1 species
AAGAGGUUUGCUAGUACUGAGAGGCUGACUUGGGGACAAUGGGGAGCCUGCAUUGGCAUUGCAGCUGUAUCUUGGCCAAUUGGUUGUGCUGUGAAAUACAUUCCGGUUCCUGGAAAAGAAGCUUCGAAGCAAAGAGCUUUCAGAACCUGAAAACAUAAGGCACUGAUCAGUUCUAGCAUAAAGGCGUACAAAUAACUUUUUUGUCAAAAUAUAAGUGUUUUAGUGUUUGCUAUCAUAGCUCUUAGCAGUUAUCCUGAGAAUAUCUGGAUUUAAAUGUCUAACUAUUGAAUCUAUUUACCAGUCCCUUACAUCUUUAGGUUAUGAAAAAGAAACAUAUCAACAUUUCUCUAUUCUGUGGUUGCUUUGCUCCCCCUUUUUUUUUUGCUUUUCAUCAUAUUUUGCUUAAUUUCUGUGUAGUGCAGACAACGAUAGAUGACCAGAGGGGAAAAAAAAAAAACUCCAUUACCAAGGCUGCAAGAUAAAGUCACUAAGGGGUUUCUUAUCUUUUCCUUCUCUUUUCCCUGUCUUUCUAACAAAUUAAACUGUGGGAAUAUCCAAAAGGAAUGUAUCGAUGGCAUGAAAAUUUACACCAACCACUCAUGCAGGAUGUGUCAAACAUUCUUUGUUCUUAAUAAUUUCCCUAUUCUUUUCCUUUCUUCUGAUGGCCAAUGCCAUAAUCACAAAUUGACAAGUUAACGUGGCCGUGAGAACUAAUGCUGAGACUCAUAAGUUAUAAUAGCUUACUUUAUUUCUUUUUGAAAUCACUUCAAAAAAGUAGUUUCAAUUUCACCACGGAGAAAUAUUAUGUGACUGAAUGUAUAAUAUAGUCCUUGAUAUUUUCACGAAAAGUAACUUAGCCCCUUUACUUUUCUUUUAUCCACUUUGAUCCCUGAACUUUUAAGAUGUGGAAUAAUUGAACCCCUAAAAAUCCUAGUCAGCAAGCAUGUAGAUUCAUGCUUUGUAACACAAGUAAACAUGUAAAAAGUUAAGAUGACAUGGCAAACAAAUAACUUCAUAAUAUUUAAAUAACAAAAUCAAAUUAAUAAUUUAUGUUUAAAAUAAAACUCAAAUCCAUAGAAUCAGAAACCUUAAAAAAUAAAGAUCAUCAAAACUCUUCUUCUAACCAUCUCUUUGUUAUGCUUCCUCUCAAUCUAAUUCUCUUAGUUUCCUUUUUUCUUCUUUUAUAAUAUUCCAUUAAAAAGCUUCACUUUAGCAGUCGUGCAUUUCAUCACAUUGUCCUCCUUUACUCAAAGCUGAUCGGAUUCUAUUUUUCUUGAUGGGUUUUCCUUGAUUUGGUUUUCUAGCAUUUAAGUCUGUGUUUUGUCAUCUUAUAAAGGAUUUAUGGAUUGUGUAAUGUUUAACGAAAUCAAUUGUCAUAUUUUUGGAUGGUUUUUUGGGCUAAUGGAUCGUUGGAUCUGUAAUAUUUUCUUUGAAGCUUAUUGGUGUUUGUUCCUCAAGAAAUAAACAGAAAAAUGAGAAAUUUAUUCUUUUAUUCCUUUUUAAUUUUUUAAUUAUCUAAUUAAGGAUAAGUUGUCCAUGUUCUCCAGUAAAAUCAAUAUUAAUUUCCAUCUUAGAAUGCGUAAUUCUCACACAGACAAGUUUGUCAAUCUUGAGUACUAGAUAGUUAUAUACUUUAACAAAGUUUAGGGAUUAGAGGCAAUGAAAGUAAAGUUGGGGGUUGGGGGGGGAGGGGGGUAAAGUGAUUUUUCGUGAAAAGAUCAAUGCGCAAAUUAUAUAUUCGGCCAUCUUAUGGUAGAUAUAUCUAAACAACAUCAGUUGAUUUCCAUAAAAUUGCUAAUAGAGACACCAAAGAGUAAGCAUGGACCUAGAAGUUUUUGAAGCUGCUUCAAAGUAUGCUAGAGCUCAACGAGCAAAUAUAGAUGAAAAUAAAUACGUAGACAUGAAUUGUACACUUUUUACCAUUAUCGGGCUGGAGGCAAGGAAUGGCUAUGCACCCCACCUCAUUCCCAUUCCUAAUUUUGCCUAGGGGUGCAAUCAAUAGAUUUGGUCUAAAAUUGAACCAAACUGAUCAAAUCAAAUAGACUAAAACCUUCCAAUUACAAAAUUGGAAAAACAAUUUUCAUAGUGAACCAAGCCAGAUCAAAAAGAAUUAAUUCGGAUAGGUCCACCUCAAUUUGAUAAUUCGAUUUUGAGAGGAAUCAACUCAAUUAGGAGCAAAAACAACAUUUUCCGCUUUUCUCUCAAACCUCAGUUUCAAUUAUCUAGCAAUGAAUUCAAAAUGUAAAAUGAAACAAAAUCCUCAAUUGCGAACAACCCACAAAAACCAUUGCUCAAUUUAUUUCCAAGUUCCAGCAGAAUGUCCGUCGGCCAGCAAUAUCCUUGGCAAAUCAAAUAAGUAUUUGCAAUUUCUCAGUCAUGCAUGGAAUCCACAACAUAGACAACCUUGAACACGUAGUCUAUCUUCUGGCUUGAAUUUUGCACCCCAUUAAAGUUCUCAAACCUUUCCCUCAAAAGAACUCUCUUAGUAACAAGAAGAUCAAGAUUGAUAAGUCAAAGUGAAAGUGCAAGCAACAGAAGAAGAAUAAGAAAAUGCAAACGAGGAAAAGAAUAAUUGAAGCAAGAGGUGCAAACUGGAGGAAAGGAGGGGUUGACGAGUCGAGCAAUUGGGUCUUUUGUCAGGCUACAUAUAUUAUAUCAGUUGAUUCAUUUCAAUUAUUGUUAUCUUUUAAAAUCUAAAAAGCUGAACCUAACUGGAAUAAUCAAAAUACCCAUUAAAUAAAGUAGAGUUGAAUCAAGUAACUAACAACCAAAGAGGAAUUGCUCGGUUCAGUAAGUUUUUAAGUUUCAUCUGUAUUCUACUCAAUCCUUCCUUUUCCCCCAGGAGAAGUUUAGGGAUACCCAUAAGGCAGAAAGCAUACUGUAAGAUACCAGUUAGGUAGAAAAAUGAGAAAUGAAUCAAGACAGAGAAUAUGCACAGAGAACUAGAAUGAGGCAAGGAAGAAGAAGAAGAAGAAGAAGAGCGAAAGGGAGAGAGGAUAACAGAAUGCAUAACAAAAAUCAUAAUCUUCUAGAAUGUCUUCUAAUUUCUGUGAUGUACACCUUUAUCCAUUUCUAAUGGGAACAAAAAUGGGAAUUAAUAUAGAUCAACUAACUCCUUUAACCACGAUAAUCCACGUCCAAAAUUUAUCUCAUCAUUGAUGUUGUAGUUGCGAAACAAAAAAAAAAUUGAUUUCUUAGUUAUUGCAUCUUAGAAGAAUUUUUUAAGUACUAGAAACUUCCAGAUUAACAAUCAGAGAAAUACAAAGAAAAGAGACACAGAGCUUAAAUUCUUUAAAAGCAGGACAAAAGAACACCUCUCACAUUAUUACACUAACUGGAAAAGUCUUAACUAAUGAAAUAGGAGAGUAGAUUGAGUCAACUGAUUUAUCACUGAAACUCUCUCAGCUACAAUCAUCCAUGAGAAAUGAAGUUUACACACCCUUACACUGGACGCAAACCAACUUCUAAAACAUGCAAGGAUAACAGAAACUGCUAGCCAAAAUGUAUGAAGAAAGAAAAUAUAACCAAAACGAAAUGGAAAAAAGAGAAGAAAUUGAACACCAUGAUAAUAUUUUUGUGAUAACACAUGCUUCAGGUGAUAACCAGAAAACAAAAAGAAAAAGAGAGAGAGAGAGAGAGAGAGAAGAAAAAGAAGAAGAGUUAUAGCCUUGUUAGGAAAAUAAGACACCUUGACAACAUUUCUGGUCUUUAGAAUUUCCUAUUGCUUCAUUCUGUUUGAUAUUAAUACUCUCCAGGCUAAUUUGUUAAUUGAAGCUAGACAAGUUUUUUCUAAACUUUUCUUUUUUGUCCUUGUUGUCCGCAUAAAGAAAAGCACUUAAAACACAUUUGUCUAUCUAUAUGAUUAAUUGGCAAAUUCUGAAAUUCUCCAAAGCUUUGGUGGAAUAAAAACUUUCAUUUUUCCCUAAAGUUAAUGGCUCAAUAGACUUUAGUCUCUAUUAUCUUAAUUAAACCUUAAGAUUUUAAAUUUAGUUGCAUUUCAGUCUCUGGAUUAUUAUAUUAGAAACCACAGGAAUUCCCCUAAAUCUUAAAUUUUUCACUACUAGUAGCACAACACUAAAAUUGCUAAUUUUGAAACAGCAAUUACCAAGUGUAUCUAGUAUGAGAAAUCUUUGGGGAAUAUCUAGUUAGUUACCCUAUGUUAAUCUUUAUUCCUCGAUGUUCAAAAUGGUCCAUUCUUAUUCCUUGGCAUUCAAAAUGUUACAUUAAAAUUUUCUUCAGUGUCUUCUAGGAGAAACUCAUUAAUUUUAAAGAUCACUGAAUCAAUCCCGAUAAAAUUAUCCAACUCAAGAAAACAUAAACCAAUUUAAAAUUAACAAAUCUGUUAAACGAGACAUUGCUUAAAUAACCAUGGGCGACAGGUCUUUUUCAACACAAAACUGAGAGACAAAGUAUAAUCAUUAAAAAUUAGUUCUAGUAGUCCUCUUGCAUUGGAACUAAUUAACAACUACAAAAAAUGAGAACUUGGAUAAAACCCAGACAUCAAGUACAAAAGAGAAUCUAAAGCUACAGUAUUUCAAUCGCUUGUUGUCAAAAUUGGAGUGCUUGCUAAGACCAAGCCAGAGUUCCACAAGCAAUUCAACAAAAGAAAAGUUAAAAUAGCACAUCAGACAUAGAAGGCGAGUACGUUUACCUUUCUAUGUGAAGCUGAGAAAUUGAAUGCCCCACCUCCGUGAAUUGAAGACAUUGGAGCCUCUCAAUAUUGUGGAGGAGGGACCCAGAUGAGCUGCUGAUAAAGCCCUAAUUGCAAUCUGUACUGUGUAACAGUCUAGGGUUUCGAUUAGCACUGUGACAAUGACAGAACCUGUGGUUUCUUCAUCUCCCCAUCAACUGGAUAAGCAUUACAUGGGUUUGGGACUUUUCGUCUAAUAUCAUAUAAAUCAUGGAUUAAAGCUGAAUUUCUUCAAAAAAAAAAUUGAGCUAAUUUAAUAUAUAAAAUAAAUUUAUAAUUUUUGGAAAAGUACUUAUAAUUACUUUUAAUUGUUCCAAGUAAUAGCUUAUCAUGUGGGUUAGAAGAAGGUUUUGCCUCCUCGUACGGAUUUAAUCUGGGACAAAAAGCCAAUAUUUAUUUUUUUUUAAUUGAAAUGAUUUGUGAUUUGCAAAGUGUGAUGAAAUAAAAACCCAUAUUGGUUACGAUCAUAUUAUUUCGAUGGGUAGAGUGGAUCAUAGUGGGGUUUAGC